UUUUAAGUUGUUAGCUUGCAGUUAAAAUAAUAUGCAUGAGCUCUGCAAGUGCUUUUUCUCCUUUCUCAGUCUCUAACUCCCAGCUAAACCUGGUACAUAGCUGUACCAGUGCUAUUCCCCUUCCUGUUGUGGAAGUUGUCCUUUGCUCGGUGUUAGGGGGGAAGUGGCCAAGUAGCCUUAUUGGCUUACAAAAGUAAGGGAAGUAAGAGACAACACUGGGAACUCCUGUUCUAACAAUGUAAUACUAACAAAGAAGCGUUAAUGCGUAACAAAGGAAAAUAGGCAUCUGUUACUUAACACCUAUUUCUGACCUAGUUGGAUCCUUGGGAUAAACUUUAAUGUAAUUUCCUUGUUUAAAGAGAAUUUUCCUGAGCUGCUUUAAUAAACUUCUACAGGAAUGUGUGCUGUAAAUUCCAGUGCCUCCUUCUAGAAUUCAUCUUCCUCUGAAUUCAGUAACUCACAAAAGAUGAGAGCUACAUAAGAAAGAACUGUUAUACAGGUUCUUUGUUAGCAGCCUUCUAAUGUCAUGGCCUGGAGCAGCGAAGCAGCAGCAGGGCUGUGCAUAGGACGAAGGAGAAGCCCACACAGGAGGGACUACAUCCUAAAUAGCUGAGAACUCAGAAGAACCUAACUCUGCCAGUACCAGCAUACUGUCAAAUUUCAAGGCCAAUGGUUUUAUAAGUUCAAAAUAUUCAGAUAAUGCCCCAGUUUGGCCACAGCCUUUCCACAAGGUGAACUGCUAAAAAGCACUGCCAGAACUAAGCAUGGACCCUUUCAAGAAAGAGGACCUCUGCUCCUUUAAGACAUUUAAGCUCCUGUGGUCUUAAAGAAAUAACAUUCUGUUUCUAAAACUGCCACCAUUGCACAUGGACCACAACUUCGGUCAUAAGCUGAAUAGUUUCUGUGAGAAGUUCGCUGGAGAGAAAACAACUUUUUACUUGUCAGGAAUAAGUCAAAAUGCCGACCGCUUAACUUCUAAGAUCCAGAAAAUGCUGACAUCUUAAAUAAUUUUCCUCAAAUGUUCCUAAAUUAUCUAAAUAUGAAAAGGAACAAACACUCAAAAGGGAUCCAAUGAAAAUAUGCCUCUUGUUGCAAAAUAAUAAUACUGUUUUAGUAGCAUAGUACUAUAAAAAUUUUUAAAUUCAGACUGCAAUAUGUUUGAUAUUCAGACUGCAAAAUGAAAAAGUCAGUUACUGGAGUAAUCAAGGUCUAUUUUUAAAACAGAUUAUUUACUUUAUGCAAGAUUUUAUACCUCCAGACUGUAAUUAUACAAUGAUAGUAACUAUAAACUUUUAAAAACAAUUUGAAUAUAUUGUCAUUGAAUAUUUUACUUAAAGAUGACUAAUAAGAAAAUAAAUGCAUGAUGAUAAAAUGUCAUUUCUCCUCUGUAUAUAGUAAAAUAUUAAGUAGAAUAACACAAAUAAGUAGAUUCCUCAGGCAAAAUAAAAUGUCUGUAGAAAAAUAUAGGCACUUAAUAUUGUUAUUAUAUGUGCACGUUAUAUACACACAUUCAGAGAUAUAUGAAUGUCUUUGGUUUACCUAAUAUCAAGGUAUUCAGAAUUCUGCAGAAUCCUAAUGCACAUUCCUAUUAAACUGGCAGUAAUGUUAUCAAAUAUGAAUGUUCCUAUGGCCCAAAUGAAUAUUAUUUUUUUUCAGUGUGUUUUGCUUGCUAAAAAUAAGUGAAAAUAAAACACAACAAAUAAUUGA